rnacentral:rRNA from 1 species
AUUGAACGCUGGCGGCAGGCCUAACACAUGCAAGUCGAACGGUAGCACAGAGAGCUUGCUCUCGGGUGACGAGUGGCGGACGGGUGAGUAAUGUCUGGGAAACUGCCCGAUGGAGGGGGAUAACUACUGGAAACGGUAGCUAAUACCGCAUAAUGUCGCAAGACCAAAGAGGGGGACCUUCGGGCCUCUUGCCAUCGGAUGUGCCCAGAUGGGAUUAGCUUGUAGGUGAGGUAACGGCUCACCUAGGCGACGAUCCCUAGCUGGUCUGAGAGGAUGACCAGCCACACUGGAACUGAGACACGGUCCAGACUCCUACGGGAGGCAGCAGUGGGGAAUAUUGCACAAUGGGCGCAAGCCUGAUGCAGCCAUGCCGCGUGUAUGAAGAAGGCCUUCGGGUUGUAAAGUACUUUCAGCGGGGAGGAAGGGAGUGAGGUUAAUAACCUUAUUCAUUGACGUUACCCGCAGAAGAAGCACCGGCUAACUCCGUGCCAGCAGCCGCGGCAAUACGGAGGGUGCAAGCGUUAAUCGGAAUUACUGGGCGUAAAGCGCACGCAGGCGGUCUGUCAAGUCGGAUGUGAAAUCCCCGGGCUCAACCUGGGAACUGCAUUCGAAACUGGCAGGCUGGAGUCUUGUAGAGGGGGGUAGAAUUCCAGGUGUAGCGGUGAAAUGCGUAGAGAUCUGGAGGAAUACCGGUGGCGAAGGCGGCCCCCUGGACAAAGACUGACGCUCAGGUGCGAAAGCGUGGGGAGCAAACAGGAUUAGAUACCCUGGUAGUCCACGCUGUAAACGAUGUCGACUUGGAGGUUGUUCCCUUGAGGAGUGGCUUCCGGAGCUAACGCGUUAAGUCGACCGCCUGGGGAGUACGGCCGCAAGGUUAAAACUCAAAUGAAUUGACGGGGGCCCGCACAAGCGGUGGAGCAUGUGGUUUAAUUCGAUGCAACGCGAAGAACCUUACCUACUCUUGACAUCCAGAGAACUUAGCAGAGAUGCUUUGGUGCCUUCGGGAACUCUGAGACAGGUGCUGCAUGGCUGUCGUCAGCUCGUGUUGUGAAAUGUUGGGUUAAGUCCCGCAACGAGCGCAACCCUUAUCCUUUGUUGCCAGCGGUCCGGCCGGGAACUCAAAGGAGACUGCCAGUGAUAAACUGGAGGAAGGUGGGGAUGACGUCAAGUCAUCAUGGCCCUUACGAGUAGGGCUACACACGUGCUACAAUGGCAUAUACAAAGAGAAGCGACCUCGCGAGAGCAAGCGGACCUCAUAAAGUAUGUCGUAGUCCGGAUUGGAGUCUGCAACUCGACUCCAUGAAGUCGGAAUCGCUAGUAAUCGUGGAUCAGAAUGCCACGGUGAAUACGUUCCCGGGCCU